UUGAGCCGUAUGAUGCGAAAGUAUCAUGUACGGUUCUUAGAGGGGAAAGCAUCCGCAAGGAUGCCGACCUACUCGAC
rnacentral:ncRNA from 1 species